GUGAUCAUAUGAAGAAGGGUCCUACCAGGCCACCUAGACCAAGCACGCCAGACCUUUCUAAGGCAAGGGGUUCCCCUCCAACUUCCAGUAAUAUUGUGCAAGGACAGAUUAAACAAGGUUGGAGUCAGUUAGCUGCUAUGCACUGUGUUAUGCUGCCAGACCUACUGGGAUUGGAUAAAUUUAGGCCUCCCCUUCUGGAGAUGCUGGCCCGAAGAUGGCAAGAUCGAUGCUUGGAGGUGAGAGAAGCCGCGCAGGCCCUGCUUCUGGCGGAACUGAGAAGAAUUGAGCAGGCAGGCAGGAAGGAAGCCAUCGAUGCCUGGGCUCCUUACUUACCUCAGUACAUAGACCACGUCAUAUCACGUAAGAGUUCUCAUGCUUCUGUACAAAGCUUUGCAGGAAUAUGUAGAGAAGGUACCUAUACUCACAAAUAUAUAUGCUACUACCCAUCAACAAAAAUGAGUCACUGACCUUAAAGUGAAAAGAACAGAUCCUCAGAUUUACUCUAUUAUUUUCUGAAUCUCUGUAGUUUGGAACUUCUUUAAAAAACAAAAGGCAAAGGCUGUCUAUAUCAAAAUAUUCAUUAAUGAACUGACUUUUAUAAAUGAAUUCCCCAUCAAACAUCCUACUCUAGUACUAACAUGUGCCUCUGCCCAUUGCAUUAUGCUUAUGGAUGCCAGUUUGUUCAAUAUUGAUCUGAUGAUAUGCAAGUGCAGAUACAAGGCAAACUCUCUUGCUGGUUGAAGUUGGGAUUGUGAGUCCUUAAAAGACAAAGAUCUGAUAGUUAGACUCAUGCACUAUUUACAAAGAGAAAAUUGGGAAGGAUUUUGAUGGAUAGAUCUUUCAAAAGAGUAUAAUUUGAAAGGAU
rnacentral:sRNA from 1 species